rnacentral:rRNA from 1 species
AUUGAACGCUGGCGGCAGGCCUAACACAUGCAAGUCGAGCGGCUGAACGGUGCUUGCUCCUGGUUUCAGCUGCGGACUGGUGUGUAAUGCCUAUGAAUCUGCCUGUUUGUUGUUGAUUACGUCCGUUCACGGGCCCUAAUCCCUCAUCCGUCCUUAUUGUGUACGUGGUGGAUCUUCGGACCUCACGCUUUCAUAUGAGCCUAGGUCGGAUUAGCUAGUUGGUGUGGGAAAGGCCUACCAAGGCGACGAUCCGUAACUGGUCUGAGAGGAUGAUCAGUCAAACUGGAAGUGAGACACGGUCCAGAAUACUACGGGAGGAAGCAGUGGGGAAUAUUGGACAAUGGGCGAAAGCAUGAUAAAGAAAUGCCGCGUGUGUGAAGAAGGUCUUCGGAUUGUAAAGCACUGUAAGUUGGGAGGAAGGGAAGUAAGUUAAUACCUAGAUGUUUUGACGUUACCAAAAGAAUAAGCACCGGCUAACUUCGUG